CCCCAGACUCCUACGGGAGGCAGCAGUGAGGAAUAUUGGUCAAUGGUCGGGAGACUGAACCAGCCAAGCCGCGUGAGGGAUGAAGGUACAGAGUAUCGUAAACCUCUUUUGUCAGGGAACAAAGGCGGGGACGUGUCCCCGGAUGAGUGUACCUGAAGAAAAAGCAUCGGCUAACUCCGUGCCAGCAGCCGCGGUAAUACGGAGGAUGCGAGCGUUAUCCGGAUUUAUUGGGUUUAAAGGGUGCGCAGGCGGUCUGUUAAGUCAGCGGUCAAAGCCCGGGGCUCAACCCCGGCCAGCCGUCGGAACUGCCGGGCUAGAGUGGGCGAGAAGUGCGCGGAAUGCGUGGUGUAGCGGUGAAAUGCUUAGAUAUCACGAAGAACUCCGAUUGCGAAGGCGGCUCACUGGACUGCAACUGACACUGAGGCUCGAAAGUGUGGGUAUCAAACAGGAUUAGAUACCCUAGUA
rnacentral:rRNA from 1 species